GUUGGUUGUGCUGUGAAGAAGGAGGAGUCAGUGCUGUGAGGAGAUGCCCAUGAGCAAUCACUGAGAAGCUAUUGAUCAUCCAAGUAUCAGUUUGGCAAUGUGCUACUGAUCUGUGUCCCAUGCUGCUGUUUCCAUGGCUCAGAGAAAAAAAAAAAUCACUGUCAAGCCAGCAGAUCUUACCAUGGAUGGAAGAAAUGCCACAGGUGGGGAAGGAAGGAGGUGAGAGCAGUGGCAGCACAAAGAUGACUCAUCUAGAAACAAGG